GUGACGGGAGGUGGUCCAAGCCAGAACACCCCGGACCAUCUGUACUGGCGGGCAGCCUCUCCCUCACCUGCGCAAAAAUGCGAUGAGCUCUGUACUGGGUAAACAGGGAAUUCGGUCCACGUGUGUGGAGUGCAUGAAUGGGGAGGAAAGGCAGAGCUUGAAGAUCUGUACCUUGUGAGCAAUGAAGAACCAGGGCAGAAUUGUUUUGGAGAAGGAGGCACACAGAUGAGGAGAAGGCUAUAUGGAGAUGGAGCCAGAGACUGGAGCACUGUGGCUGCAAGCCAGACAAUGGAGGAGGACAAGGAGCAUUCUCUUCCAGAGCCUCCAGAGGGAGUGAGGCCCUUACAACACCUUGAUUUUCACGUCUAGCUUCCAGAACUGUGAGAGAAUAAAUUCCUAUAAUUUUGAGCCACGUAGGUUGUGAUAAUGCAUUACAACAGCCCCAAGAAACGAAUACACCUUGUUACUGCAAGCCCUUCCACAGCUGAUUCUCGCUGGUGGUGAACAUGCUGGGCCUGGCUCCCAUGGAGCCCAUGUUCUGGGUGAAGGGCCCACACACAAAAGUUAUUUCUAAUAGUGGAGUGGCAGGUGCUGUGAAAGUUGAGCACCAGAACUGUGUAUCUAAUUGCCCACUUGUCUCUACUUAAUAUCUAAGGGGCAUCUCAAACUUAAUUUUCCCCAAAUACGAAUCCCUGGAGAUGCCUGCAUGUGAGAAGCUGAUUUACUCAAGAUGGUCAGGAAAGGCCUCUGGGAAGGGGAGACAUAAUGCAGGAAUGAUGGAGAGGCAGUCCAAAGCACGGCGCGCGCUCGUUUUAUUUUUUUAUUGUUAUUUUUUAGGAAGAUAAACAGUCAGUAGAGAUAAAGAGAAGAAGAAGAUGAAGAUUCGAGGGAGAGGGUGACAAGGAGUAAGUGUUUGGAGGAGGCAGAAGUGAUCUGAGGCCAGGGUGAGAAAGCAGCUCAGGGAUGCGGUCCUCACAGGGAAAUCUGCAGGGACAACUAUCGACCUGAUUUUCCUGCACCUCAACGUGAGACAAUUACAAAGGAAAAAGGAAGGCCAAAAUCGUCCUGUAAUCUUCAGUGACUUCUCUUUUCAGUACGGACUUGGGUGUAUUUAGACCCCCAAGAGCCGGGGCUGGAGGAGCCGCCCGGGCAGUAGGUAUCUCCGGGUACGAGAGGCCUCUUUGGGAUGCAAAUUGAGUUUCCCCCGAGAUCGACACUGCCUCGGGGAAUCUGAAAUUACUAUCCCACAGCGCUAAUAAAGGCACCUUUUGGAGAGACAUGAUGCCUGUUAAUUUGCACCUUU